rnacentral:rRNA from 1 species
UACGGGGGGGGCAAGCGUUGUUCGGAAUUACUGGGCGUAAAGGGUCUGUAGGUGGCCAACUAAGUCAGACGUGAAAUCCCUCAGCUUAACUGGGGAACUGCGUCUGAUACUGGUCGGCUUGAGUGCAGGAGAGGAAUGCGGAAUUCCAGGUGUAGCGGUGAAAUGCGUAGAUAUCUGGAGGAACACCGGUGGCGAAGGCGGCAUUCUGGACUGUAACUGACACUGAAAGACGAAAGCCAGGGGAGCAAACGGG